rnacentral:tRNA from 1 species
AACCCCGGGAUUGGUCUCCUAACCAGCGCCUUCUUGCGGCGGACCCUCCGGUUCCUAAACCGUGUGUCGCAGGUUCGAAUCCUGCCGGGG